AACCGAUUGUGAGGGCACCUUCUCAAUAAGUCUUUGUAUCUCUCACAUGCAUCAUAUCCAUCUGCACAAAAGAAGAGAUAUCAUUCCUCAAUUU
rfam:Gossypium hirsutum cultivar TM-1 chromosome 15, whole genome shotgun sequence